rnacentral:rRNA from 1 species
UCGAGAAUCUUCCGCAAUGGGCGAAAGCCUGACGGAGCGACACCGCGUGCAGGAUGAAGGCCUUCGGGUUGUAAACUGCUGUCACGCCAUAGGAAUUCCCUGCUUGACAGGGUUGACCAAAGCGAGAGGAAGCACCGGCUAACUCCGUGCCAGCAGCCGCGGUAAUACGGAGGGUGCGAACGUUGUUCGGAAUCACUGGGCAUAAAGAGCACGUAGGCGGUCGCCUAAGUCGGAUGUGAAAGCCCCCGGCUCAACCGGGGAAUUGCAUUCGAUACUGGGUGACUCGAGGAUGGUUGGGGUGAGUGGAACUCCAGGUGGAGCGGUGAAAUGCGUAGAUAUCUGGAGGAACACCGGUGGCGAAAGCGGCUCACUGGACCAUUUCUGACGCUGAGGUGCGAAAGCUAGGGUAGCGAACGGGAUUAGAUACCCCCGUAGUCC